AAAAAAAAAAAAAAAAAAAGGUUGUCUCCGCAAAAGUUGAGUCGACAAAAUAGAUCAGAUUCAGUCGAUAAUCGCUCAGACAAUCCCUAUUUUCCAAUCUGAAAACCCCGAUUAAGAUCCAUCAUCAAUCCACAAAUUCCCAAAUUCCAGUUAGGGAUUUGAUCCCCUUUGUUCCUUGAUCUGAUCCCUUGGUUCUCUUGAGCCAUGGACAUGUUCCUCUUACAGCAUGUGCAAAGCUCACUGGUACAUGAUGCUUCUUCCUCUGCAUGUGACCGUUUGAAUAAUAACCCAGCUUGUCGAUUGCUUCUUCAGGGGGAAGUUUCGUUUGUUGGCAUGCUUGUAGCUUCUUAACCUCUUUCUCCAUCAUAUAUACAUACUCUUGUCCUUUAGGGAUUGAUCUUCUCUCUAGCCUUCUUUUCAACAACAACAUGAGCUGGUUUUUGGUAGUUCUCAUCCAAUUUAAUGGAUUUCACACAUGUAAUUUCUUGCCUUUCUCUGUUUUCUUCUCAUGCCUGAUUUGAUUUUGAGUAGACUUUGAACUUUAUCACUUUGAAUUUUUUUUGUGAGGUAUGUGUUUACUGGAGUUUCCAACUUGACACUCUUUCUUAUUCAUCUCUACCAUUUUUCCUUGGUCUUCUCUCCCUUGGACUGGUUCUUUUUACAAACAACCCCAGCAUAGCUUAAUGGUAAGUUUGCUUUCUCCCUCAACAUAAAUUCUUCAACGGUUUCCAAAUUCUCUUUGAAAUCAUCACUUUCUCUUGUUUGAUUUCUCUUUGAUUGAUUUCAAUUGGGUAUUGAGACAUGUAGAAGAGGUGCGUAACUUCGGAUAUCCCUAUUACUCGUAUUUUCCAUGAAAUGAACUUCCUCUCUGUUCGUCUUUCUAAUUUUUCCUUCAGCGAGUUUCUUCUCCAUUCAUUCCUCUCUAUUUUAUCUUUCAACCCAGUUACCUGUACAAAUCCUCUUCCUUGCCGGAAUUUGGGAAUAUUCUGGCUAUAUACUGUGGUUUCUGUUAGAAUCUUUGGAAAAUCUUAUCGAAGGGCUUCAUGUCGUCGAGCUAUGUAAACUAAGCAUUGGCAGCCAUUUUUGAUAUAUGGGAAGGUGCUCUGUUUGGCUAUAUGUCUAAGUGUUGGCGGAUUGAUAUGAAGCAGAUGGUAUGUCUUAUAUAUUGAUCAACUGCUGUUUGGACCAAGAAUAAUAAGACAAAUCUUUGUAAGUCCUUAAAUCUUCACCCCAUGUUGAAGCAUUCGGAAAAGGAAUAGGAGUUUCAAAUGUGAUGCUUGUUCUUUGCCUUCUUUGAAGGUAUGCACUUCAACUCACCAUGUUGGGCAUCACACUCUGAAGAAUGCAUCAUUGCUAGAUGUAUUUAAGAUAAUGAAUGAAUGCAUCAUUAAGAGCUUGCAAGUCAUAUGAUGUAUUUAAGAUAGACGCUCUAGGUUCUAAUAUGGCGCUCUAGGAUUUAGAUUGUUGGAUUUGUCUCAAUUGUCGGCCGACAUUGAUGUGUUGGGCUUGGGCAUCUUUAAGGGUUUUGGAUUAGCAUAUACGUUAUCUCGAAAGAGAAUACUUUUAAGAAAACUUGUUAACUUCAUUCAAUCACCA